CACGUAGGGCGCAAGCGUUGUCCGGAAUUAUUGGGCGUAAAGAGCUCGUAGGUGGUUUGUUACGUCUGCUGUGAAAACCUAGGGCUUAACCCUGGGCUUGCAGUGGAUACGGGCGGACUAGAGUACUUCAGGGGAGACUGGAAUUCCUGGUGUAGCGGUGAAAUGCGCAGAUAUCAGGAGGAACACCGGUGGCGAAGGCGGGUCUCUGGGAAGUAACUGACGCUGAGAAGCGAAAGCAUGGGUAGCAAACAGG
rnacentral:rRNA from 1 species